rnacentral:rRNA from 1 species
UACGUAGGGGGCAAGCGUUGUCCGGAAUCAUUGGGCGUAAAGAGCGUGUAGGCGGCCAGAUAAGUCCGCUGUGAAAUCUCGAGGCUCAACUUCGAGCUGUCGGUGGAAACUGUCUGGCUAGAGUCCGGAAGAGGAGAGUGGAAUUCCUGGUGUAGCGGUGAAAUGCGCAGAUAUCAGGAAGAACACCUAUGGCGAAGGCAGCUCUCUGGGACGGCACUGACGCUGAGACGCGAAAGCGUGGGGAGCGAACAGG